GGGGGUGUAACUCAGUUGGUAGAGUGCCUGUUUGAAGAACAGAUGGUCACUGGUUCGAAUCCAGUCGUCCCCACCA
rnacentral:tRNA from 1 species